rnacentral:rRNA from 1 species
AGAGUUUGAUCCUGGCUCAGGACGAACGCUGGCGGCGUGCCUAAUACAUGCAAGUCGAGCGAGCGGAACUAACAGAUUUACUUCGGUAAUGACGUUAGGAAAGCGAGCGGCGGAUGGGUGAGUAACACGUGGGGAACCUGCCCCAUAGUCUGGGAUACCACUUGGAAACAGGUGCUAAUACCGGAUAAGAAAGCAGAUCGCAUGAUCAGCUUUUAAAAGGCGGCGUAAGCUGUCGCUAUGGGAUGGCCCCGCGGUGCAUUAGCUAGUUGGUAAGGUAAAGGCUUACCAAGGCGAUGAUGCAUAGCCGAGUUGAGAGACUGAUCGGCCACAUUGGGACUGAGACACGGCCCAAACUCCUACGGGAGGCAGCAGUAGGGAAUCUUCCACAAUGGACGCAAGUCUGAUGGAGCAACGCCGCGUGAGUGAAGAAGGUUUUCGGAUCGUAAAGCUCUGUUGUUGGUGAAGAAGGAUAGAGGUAGUAACUGGCCUUUAUUUGACGGUAAUCAACCAGAAAGUCACGGCUAACUACGUGCCAGCAGCCGCGGUAAUACGUAGGUGGCAAGCGUUGUCCGGAUUUAUUGGGCGUAAAGCGAGCGCAGGCGGAAGAAUAAGUCUGAUGUGAAAGCCCUCGGCUUAACCGAGGAACUGCAUCGGAAACUGUUUUUCUUGAGUGCAGAAGAGGAGAGUGGAACUCCAUGUGUAGCGGUG